CCGGCGGGGGCGGGGCCGCUGCUGGUCCUGCGGGCGGCGGCGCGUGCCGUCGCGCCGCCGGUACGCGGGCGGUCGUCCCAGAGCUCCACGGAGUGCGCCGCGCGGGCCUGGCGUCUGUGCAGUUUGCCUUUAACGCUAGUUCGGCGGCUUUUGCGGGUGUGUGUGACUAACAUGCGUCCGUGUCGCGCGUGUGUCUGUGCGGCCGGUCGCCGUCCGUGGAGCUCCCUCGGUGAGGUCAUCGGGGGCGGUUCGGCGGUGCGUUGGUUGCAAAGGGGCGAAUGCCGCCCGUGUUUUUACCACCGUUUGCUUAGUUCUUUGGCACUUGGGAAGUGGCGGGUGCUUGGGAUUCGGGUUUCGGGGUUAUUUUGCUUUAGUCUUUUGAAGCGUGGUUGACGCGCACCGUUGCAUUAGUUUUGGGUGCACGGCGUAAGGACCGGACGCUAUACCUUGCGAGAUGGAACCGCAUUAAGUCCUGACGCCAUCACCGUACAUCGUGGCCUUUUUCCCCCUUUGCUGAGGAGUUUUAAGAUCAGUUUGAGAACGGUUCUUCAGUCUGAAGCCUGAUGUUGCCUGCACUGGGUUGACCGUCUCUGGACAUUGAUUCCUGUGUGAAUGGCGGAUGCUGAUUUGAGUCGCUGAGGAGAAGUCAGAUUCUAAAAAUAUUUUUUCCCUUCUCUGUGGACUUGACAUAAAAUUAGUUUUGUUUGUGUCUUGGGUUUAUUUUCUAAAUAGCAACAUAAACCCGUAUCUGUUACAAAGAAAUUGGGUACUUAAACCAUGAGUUGUGGAAAAGAGUUUGUGGAAACAUUAAAAAAAAUCAAUUAUCCCAAAGCUGAUACUCUCAGUGGGGAAGAUUUUGACUGGUUGUUUGAGACUGUUGAAGAUGAAUCAUUUCUGAAGUGGUUUUGUGGGAAUGUGAAUGAACAGAAUGUAUUGUCUGAAGAAGAAUUGGAAGCUUUUGGCAUUCUUCAAACAUCAGGCAAGCCUAUCCUAGAAGGAGCAGCGUUGGAUGAAGUUCUUAAAACCUGUAAAACUUCUGAUUUGAAGACAUGUAUCUUGGAUGACAAAGAGCUAGAGAAAUUAGAGACUGAGGUUCAAACUCUGCAGAAGUUGAAGAACCUAAAAAUUCAGCGACGUAAUAAAUGCCAGUUGAUGGCUUCAGUAACAAGCCACAAAUCUCUGAGGUUAAAUGCUAAAGAAGAAGCGGCCACUAAAAGGCUGAAGCAGAGUCAAGGAAUUCUAAAUGCUAUGAAUACUAAGAUAAAUAAUGAACUUCAGGCUCUUACUGAUGGAGUUGCAAAAUUGAUGAUGUUUUUCAAACAUUCUAAUUUGGAUCAAGGGACAAAUCCACUGGUGUUUUUAUCUCAGUUUUCCUUGGAAAAAUAUCUAAGCCAGGAAGAGCAGAGCACAGCAGCAUUAACUUUAUAUACCAAAAAACAGUUCUUUCCGGGUAUACAUGAAGUAGUUGAAAGUUCAAAUGAAGAAAAUUUUCAACUUUUAGAUAUACAAGCACCAUCUAUUUGUGAUAGUCAGGAAGUCCUCGAGGAGAGAUGGCUAGAGAUGGCUAGGCUGCAGCUAGCUUACGUUUGUGCUCAACAUGAGUUAAUUCACUUGAAAGCAAGUAAUUUGAGCAUGAAGUCGAGUAUACAGUGGGCAGAGGAGAAUCUUCAUAGCCUCACUAGCAAGGCUCUUGGCAAAGAUAAUUUGGAUGCUAAAAUUUCUAACUUGAAUAGUGAGAUUCUGAAACUUGAAGAACAAAUCUCUCAUAUGAAAGAUAAAAGUUUGCCUGCUGUGGUAAAAGAGAAUGCCCAGUUAUUGAAUAUGCCAGUUGUAAAGGGAGAUUUUGAUCUACAGAUUGCUAAACAAGACUAUUAUACAGCAAGACAAGAGUUAGUUUUAAAUCAGUUGAUAAAGCAAAAGGCAUCUUUUGAACUUCUACAAUUAUCAUAUGAAAUUGAAUUGAGAAAGCAUUGGGACAUAUAUCGUCAACUUGAAAAUUUGGUUCAAGAGCUUAGUCAAAGUAAUAGGAUGCUCCACCAACGAUUAGAAAUGCUAACAGACCCAUCAGUAUCUCAGCAGAUAAAUCCAAGGAAUACCAUUGAUACCAAGGACUUUUCUACUCAUAGGCUUUAUCAACUUUUAGAAGGAGAGAAUAAGAAAAAAGAAUUAUUUAUAACCCAUGGAAACCUGGAGGAAGUGGCUGAGAAAUUAAAAAAGGAUGUUUCUUUAGUACAAGAUCAGUUGGCAGUAUCUACUCAAGAACAUUCUUUCUUUCUGUCGAAACUGAAUAAUGAUGUGGACAUGCUUUGUGAUACUUUGUAUCAAGGAGGAAAUCAGCUUUUGCUUAGUGAUCAGGAGUUAACAGAGCAGUUUCAUCAAGUUGAAUCCCAACUGAAUAAGCUAAAUCAUCUUCUUACUGAUAUUCUUGCUGAUGUGAAGACAAAAAGAAAAAUUUUGGCAUCUAAUAAACUGCAUCAAAUGGAAAGAGAAUUAUAUGUAUAUUUUUUAAAAGAUGAAGAUUAUCUGAAAGAUAUUGUGGAGAAUUUAGAAAACCAAUCAAAGAUUAAGGCUGUUGGUCUUGAAGAUUGAAAAUUACUAAAAACUGAGUACUACAUAUGCUGUUUUAAUAUUUUAUAUAUUAGGAAAAUAUAGCUAAUAAACCCUACUAAAAUUUUAAAUUUGAGGCCUAUGGAACAUUUCAUUUAAUUAAUUCAAGUAUUACAUUGGUUUGUUUUUUCUUUAUAUAGUAUGUUCAAAGUACUACCAGUGCUUUUUAUGAAUUAACCAUUUGCUUGGUGGCACUUAGUUCAGGUAAUCUUUUACUUACAGGGAAAAAGCAUUAUAUAAUGCAAAUAUUUCUUAAUAGAAUUAGUUCUAGCUCUCCUUUACUGUUUUUUUUUAGAAAUAGAAAUUUUCUGCUGUUAAAUAUUUUAAACUUUUGUAGAACUUUGAAUCAGCAUUGUUAAACCUGUGGACCCUAGUAUACGGAAUAGCCAAGUCCCCUCAUGUUUGGGUAUAAAGUAAAACUCAGCCACUCAAACUGUGUAAUUCCCUUAAUUCCCUGCUAUAGACUUUGAGACUCUCCUCCUGUUUGCGUCCCAAAAAAUGUCAGGUGUCCUUUGACCGUUGUUCAUUUUAGCAGCUGGGUCCUGGGGGCUCAAAAUUUCUGCAGGACAGAUCUUAGCGGUAUUUGGACUUCACUGUGACUUACACAUUUUGGAAGGCAGCUGUGCUCACCACUCUACCACCAACGCCGGCUACUUACACAUUUUUUUUUUUUUAAGAUUUUAUUUAUUUGACAGAGACACAGCAAGAGAGGGAACACAAGCAGGGGGAGUAGAAGAGGGAGAAGCAGGCUUCCCGCGGAGCAGGGAGCCCAAUGCGGGGCUCGAUCCCAGGACUCUGGGAUCAUGACCCAAGCCGAAGGCAGACGCUCAACGACUGAGCCACCCAGGAUUUGUGGAAAUGGCAAAUUACGAGGCAUUUGUGGGCUUUGAUCUCUGUAAUUAUAGGAGAUUAUGUCAGCUGUGCAGUCACGUGAUCCAGUGAAGUCUGAGAAUUGGAGAGGGAGUGAAAAGAGUGAGUAAUUUUCAUAAACAUCUAUCUUUUGUUACCUUGAACGUUAAUUAUUUCUUAAGGUUUGACAAUGAAACGGAAUUAUUCUCAGGAACCUUCUGUUGCGUAGGGAGGUUCGUGCUGCAGACAAAUGGAGUCCGGCUCCCCUUGCUUUAUUCUCGUUCAGUGGUGACUGAGCUUCUGCUCACUAGAUUGCACAUUCCCUCGGCCCUUACUGCUUUAAAAUGUAACACUUCCUCGUUCCAGGCAUUCUGUCAGAGAGUCCCUGAGAAUCUGCCUCAACUGUUUAAGUAACCUCAGAGAGCUGGGCGCUCUCACCGUGCCCCUCGCUUCGGCCUGAGCCCUUGGGUCUUUGGACACACAGGGACGUAGUACCUGUUUGCUGUGUGUGGGGGAUGGGAGAAGGGUGUUUGACACUGUGUGUCUUAGCUGCCGAGAGCUAUGAGCUCUCAGGUGUGUGUGUGUGUGACGUGAUGUCACGCAGCAGCGGUGGCGUGGGCACACAAGUGUGACUGAGACAUUCGGAACACCGGUUCUUUGUUUCACUAGCACAGCAGUUGUUGUUGUUUGUGUCUUAAUAUUUAAGUCUGGGCUAACUGUCGUUCUUUUCUAUAGAGUAAGUUAUACGUGAGAGGUCAUUGUGACGAAGUAAUUGAGAGCAUUGACAAAUAGUGCAAAAGCUAUGUAAGUGCAGUUCUUGAUGAAGAUACGGUAGCACCACACGUUUCGAUCUGCUCAUAUUUAGGCAUCUGUUGCUCAUGAGCCUCAUUACAGAAAGUUGCUGAUAAAUGAACUGCUAGGAAGUUUUGUGUAUGGACCACAGACCUAGAAGUUGAUAAUGUUUUGGGGAAUGAGGGGUGGAUAGUAAAGAAAAUAAAUAUUUAAACGUCAAAGAGCUUUCUCCUUCAUUCUGGAUACUUUCUGAAAUAGCAGUGUGCACUUGACAGAAGUGGAAAUGUACUUCCCUUUAAAAACUUGAUAGGAAUAAAAAAAUACUGAUAGGAAUAGUGAAAUGCCUCUGGUAGCUUCAAUGUGAGUCUUGAGAAAGAUUUAUGGCCAUCAGCCCAUCGUGUGAACUCUUUUGUCAUGCUCUUCAAAUACUCUGUAAAAUUCUAGUUUUGUUUUUUUUUUUUUAAGAUUUUAUUUAUUUAUCUGACAGAGACACAGCGAGAAAGGGAACACAAGCAGGGGGAGUGGGAGAGGGAGAAGCAGGCUUCCCGCGGAGCAGGGAGCCGGAUGUGGGGCUCGAUCCCAGGACCCUGGGAUCAUGACCUGAGCCGAAGGCAGACGCUUAACGACUGAGCCACCCAGGCGCCCCCAAAAUCUAGUUUUCAUAAAUUUAUUGAGAGGUAAUGGGAAAAGAUAAUAUUUUUCUGUCAAGUGUUA